rnacentral:rRNA from 1 species
AUUGAACGCUGGCGGCAGGCCUAACACAUGCAAGUCGAGCGGAUGAAGGGAGCUUGCUCCUGGAUUCAGCGGCGGACGGGUGAGUAAUGCCUAGGAAUCUGCCUGGUAGUGGGGGAUAACGUCCGGAAACGGGCGCUAAUACCGCAUACGUCCUGAGGGAGAAAGGGGGGGAUCUUGGGACCCAAGGCAAUCGGAUGAGCCUAGGUCGGAUUAGCUAGUUGGUGGGGUAAAGGCCUACCAAGGCGACGAUCCGUAACUGGUCUGAGAGGAUGAUCAGUCACACUGGAACUGAGACACGGUCCAGACUCCUACGGGAGGCAGCAGUGGGGAAUAUUGGACAAUGGGCGAAAGCCUGAUCCAGCCAUGCCGCGUGUGUGAAGAAGGUCUUCGGAUUGUAAAGCACUUUAAGUUGGGAGGAAGGGCAGUAAGUUAAUACCUUGCUGUUUUGACGUUACCAACAGAAUAAGCACCGGCUAACUUCGUG